AUUGAACGCUGGCGGCAGGCCUAACACAUGCAAGUCGAGCGGUUGAGGUAGCUUGCUACCGAUGCAGCGGCGAACGGGUGAGUAAUACAUGGGAAUCUGCCUGGUAGUGGGGGACAACGUUUCGAAAGGAACGCUAAUACCGCAUACGCCCUACGGGGGAAAGGGGGGGGAUCGCAAGACCUCUCGCUAUCAGAUGAGCCCAUGUCAGAUUAGCUAGUUGGUGAGGUAAAGGCUCACCAAGGCGACGAUCUGUAACUGGUCUGAGAGGAUGAUCAGUCACACUGGAACUGAGACACGGUCCAGACUCCUACGGGAGGCAGCAGUGGGGAAUAUUGGACAAUGGGGGCAACCCUGAUCCAGCCAUGCCGCGUGUGUGAAGAAGGCCUUAGGGUUGUAAAGCACUUUCAGUGGGGAGAAAGGUGAUUCACCUAAUACGUGAGUCAAUUGAUGCUACCCACAGAAGAAGCACCGGCUAACUCCGUGCCAGCCGCCGCAGUAA
rnacentral:rRNA from 1 species